rnacentral:lncRNA from 1 species
AAUCUGACUCUCAGAAUACUAUCGACCCGGACACUUUGUACUUUUCUCCUGGCCUCGGCCCUAGAAUGAAGGUUUUUCUCUCUGACUAUGGCUUCCCCGAUGCAGAAUUCCAGCAGACUCUCAAUAGAUGAUGCUGUAAGCACAGACUGCCAAAGGAAAGCCCAUUUUCUUCCAGUUCUCUUCUUCUCAAGAGCCAAAAGAGGUAGCAUGAUGGCAAAAUGGAUAGAAGACCGAUCUUAAUAUCUGGAAGACUUGAGCUCAAAUCUGGUCUUUGAGUCUGAGUGAUCGAGCUAUGAGUGACUCAAUUAUAUGGAAAGUCCCCCAGCCAUAUUUUUGCCCAUCUAUCCCUUGGCAUCCAUUGGCCAACAUGGGGGUAGUGAUCAUAAGCACUUGACCAACAAGUGGCCAUGGGUUGCCAGUCUGUGGCCUGCCUUUCUACCAGCCCAUGGGGGUGCUCAUCAGGACCUCUUGAAAGAUCAAGAUAGGUCUGUCAAUGUCUGUCAAGACAUUAGUCCAUUUGAGUACCGAUGGGAUUCUUUAUUUUUGUGUAGAGCCUCCUGGAGGGAAAAGAGCAAGGUUUAUCAACUAAUAAGAUUAUGGAUUUUUAGUUUGUUUUAUCUGUAUUGUCUGGGGAACAAGCACUAUAAAACUAAGUCUCUGGAGGAGGAGGGCGUCUCAGAUCAUGAGGAGGAUCUAAGGUCCACUUUUUUGGAGGGGUUCAUGGACCUUUUAAUAAAUUACCAAUAGCU